rnacentral:hammerhead_ribozyme from 1 species
GUCCAGCUGAUGAGUCCCAAAUAGGACGAAACGCGCGUUCUUUAU